GGAAGCGUGCCCGAAAANUUAGGGAACUCCUUGAUAGGGAGAACUAUAAAGGUUCAAAUCCUCUCACUUCCUUA
rnacentral:tRNA from 1 species